rnacentral:rRNA from 1 species
UACGUAGGGAGCAAGCGUUGUCCGGAAUCAUUGGGCGUAAAGCGCGCGUAGGUGGCCUCGUAAGUCCGCUGUGAAAGUCAAAGGCUCAACCUUUGAAAGCCGGUGGAUACUGUCGGGCUUGAGUACGGAAGAGGCGAGUGGAAUUCCUGGUGUAGCGGUGAAAUGCGCAGAUAUCAGGAGGAACACCAAUUGCGAAGGCAGCUCGCUGGGACGUUACUGACGCUGAGACGCGAAAGCGUGGGGAGCAAACAGG